UAUAUUUAGAGUAAAUAUAUUUUUUCACUCUAUUAUAAAGUAAAAAAUAUAGUUCUAUUGAAACAAUUUUACUCUAAACUUUUUUUUUUUGAACAAACUCUAAACUCUAUUUUAAAAUAAAAAUAUACGGAUUUAGAGAUGCCUUUAUUGAUUCACUAAGUCCUUCUUCUACGCUUUUUGUAUUUAAGAAUAAGUUAAAUUAAAAUAUAGACUAGAAUAUUAAAAUAGGUUGUAGAAUCUAUUAACAAAAACAAAGCUAAAAAUUUACUUUUCUUGAUAUAUUUGAAAACCUAAAAUCAGAAUUUUCAAAUCCCUCUCUCAAAUUGAGAGGAGCAGUAUUUUCAAUGAUCAUAAAAGAAAUUUGUCAGUUUUUAUUCGAAAAUUGGAACAAAAUUUACUUUUUAGUAUUUAUUUCAUGGAAAAUGUAUUAACUGACAAGAUAUUUCAUCAUAACUUUGCUUGGAAAAUUUCCAUGUUCGAUCUUUUCUUCCUUUAAAUAUUAUAAAAGAAGAAAUAAAUAAAUAAAAUUUUCCUUUUAAAAGAUAAAAUAAAAAGACUUUUCCCUUUUAUUAAACAGAAAAAGGCCGCUUGAAGUUUCAAAUUAAAUGAUGAAUGUGUCUGUCUAAAUUCAAAAACCGUUUUUGUCAUCUUCCUCUCAGUUCUCAGAUGAUGAAAGUUUCAGACUCGAAUUCCCCGACAGGAGUUCUCGAAGAGUUCUUCAGAACCGAAGAAUUCGAAAGCUCCCAGACUACAACAACCAAUAAGAACCCUUCCUCCUCCUCCUCCCGUUUCCGCAGGGUUGUUCAUCUUCUAAGAAGCACGUCCAAAAAAUCGCUAGAGAAUCUGAAGGUCCCGUUUCAGUACAACAAUGCCGUUACAAGCUCAUUGAGAAGAUGCAGUAGCUUGAGAGACAGUCUCAGAUUUGGCUCCUCCAGUGAUUCUCCCGUUCUUGCACACUCUCCUCGAAGAAUCUUUUCUUUUUCUGAUCUCAAAAUUGCCACCAACAAUUUCGCUCCAGAUAAUCUAAUUGGAAAAGGAGGUUAUGCUGAAGUUUACAAGGGGAAGUUUUCAAAUGGACAAAUGGUAGCCAUAAAACGGCUUAUGCGUGGAAACAGCGAAGAGAUCAUUGUAGAUUUUCUAUCAGAGAUGGGUAUAAUGGCACAUGUUAACCAUCCAAAUAUAGCGAAGCUUUUAGGCUAUGGUGUCGAAGGAGGAAUGCACCUUGUUCUUGAGUUGUCACCUCAUGGGAGCUUAGCUUCUAUGCUUUAUAGCUCAAAGGAGAAGAUGAAAUGGAGCAUCAGGUACAAAAUAGCUUUGGGAGUUGCAGAGGGCUUGGUGUAUCUUCACAGUGGAUGUCACAGGAGAAUUAUUCACAGAGAUAUCAAAGCCGCAAACAUUCUUCUCACGCAUGAUUUUUUGCCUCAGAUAUGCGACUUUGGGCUUGCGAAGUGGCUACCUGAACAUUGGACACACCAUAUAGUUUCCAAAUUUGAGGGCACAUUUGGAUAUCUUGCUCCUGAGUACUUAACACAUGGGAUAGUAGAUGAAAAGACUGAUGUAUUCGCCUUGGGUGUACUUUUACUAGAACUUGUUACUGGACGACGAGCUCUUGACUACUCCAAGCAAAGUCUUGUUCUAUGGGCUAAACCAUUGAUGAAGAAGAACAAAAUUAGAGAGCUAAUUGAUCCAUCUUUAGCGGGCGAAUAUGAAUGGACCCAGAUUAAGCUUGUGCUUUUGGCUGCUUCGUUAUCAAUCCAAGAGUCAUCUUUAGAGAGGCCUGGGAUGAGUCAGGUCGUUGAGAUCCUCAAAGGCAACUUGAACGAUCUCAAGUGCAUCAUGAAAUGCAGAGUUCCCUUUUAUCGAAAAGCUUUUAGAGAUGAGAAUCAUGUCAAGAAAUAUUGAGAAAAUUAGAUCUUGAAGAAAGGAAAUAGAUGAAACUCAACAAAGGGAAAAGAAGAGAUAUAGAUGGCUUACAUCAUUUUUGAAUAAAAAUUCGUUAUGCAUCACUUGUCAACAAGAUAUUAAUGGAAAUGGCGUCACAUGGUGCUGGACGGGACCUGACGUAUUGCAGGCAUUCUGAUAAUCUGUUUCAAAAUUGGACACUUUUUUCCUUAUAAUUUGUGUGUGCGUGAAAUCAGCACAAGUGUCACAUAUGUGUUUUUAACACUUUUAGUUUAUUAAACAAACUUCUUGGGAUGAACACAAGUUGGAUACUUUUCAUUUUUUGGUAUAUUUGAUAUUUGAUUUGUCUUGUAAGAAUAAUAUAAAUUCAUACUUGUAUUUGACUUACUAAAAAUGAGUAUU